rnacentral:rRNA from 1 species
GACGAACGCUGGCGGCGUGCCUAAUACAUGCAAGUAGAACGCUGAAGGAGGAGCUUGCUCUUCUGGAUGAGUUGCGAACGGGUGAGUAACGCGUAGGUAACCUGCCUGGUAGCGGGGGAUAACUAUUGGAAACGAUAGCUAAUACCGCAUAACAGUAGAUGUUGCAUGACAUUUGCUUAAAAGGUGCAAUUGCACCACUACCAGAUGGACCUGCGUUGUAUUAGCUAGUUGGUGGGGUAACGGCUCACCAAGGCGACGAUACAUAGCCGACCUGAGAGGGUGAUCGGCCACACUGGGACUGAGAAACGGCCCAGACUCCUACGGGAGGCAGCAGUAGGGAAUCUUCGGCAAUGGACGGAAGUCUGACCGAGCAACGCCGCGUGAGUGAAGAAGGUUUUCGGAUCGUAAAGCUCUGUUGUAAGAGAAGAACGAGUGGGAGAGUGGAAAGUUCACACUGUGACGGUAUCUUACCAGAAAGGGACGGCGAACUACGU